rnacentral:rRNA from 1 species
UUUUGGACAAUGGGCGCAAGCCUGAUCCAGCCAUUCCGCGUGAGUGAAGAAGGCCUUCGGGUUGUAAAGCUCUUUCGCAAGGGAAGAAAGAUUACUCUCUAAUAUAGAGUGAUUAUGACGGUACCUUGAUAAGAAGCACCGGCUAACUACGUGCCAGCAGCCGCGGUAAUACGUAGGGUGCGAGCGUUAAUCGGAAUUACUGGGCGUAAAGCGUGCGCAGGCGGUUUUGUAAGUCAGAUGUGAAAUCCCCGAGCUCAACUUGGGAACUGCGUUUGAAACUACAAGACUAGAAUAGGUCAGAGGGGGGUAGAAUUCCACGUAUAGCAGUGAAAUGCGUAGAGAUGGGAGGAAUAUCAAUGGCGAAGGCAGCCCCCUGGGAUCAUAUUGACGCUCAUGCACGAA